rnacentral:tRNA from 1 species
GGCACAGUAGCCCAACUGGUAGAGGCAACGGCUUCAGAUGCCGUCAAGUAAGAGUUCGAAUCUCUUCUGUGUCA